CGGGGUGAGUAAUGUAUGGGGAUCUGCCUGAUGGCGGGGGAUAACUACUGGAAACGGUAGCUAAUACCGCAUAAUGUCUGCGGACCAAAGCGGGGGACCUCCGGGCCUCGCGCCAUCAGAUGAACCCAUAUGGGAUUAGCUUGUAGGUAAGGUAACGGCUUACCUAGGCGACGAUCCCUAGCUGGUCUGAGAGGAUGAUCAGCCACACUGGGACUGAGACACGGCCCAG
rnacentral:rRNA from 1 species